ACCACCUUUUCCCUUCAUUCCAAAACCAAAAAUAUCAGAGUCCUUAGGGUUUUCCACUCUUCAUUUCUUAAAUUGGAUACAAAAGUUCGAAGAGAAUGUGAGUAUCAAAUCUUAGUGUGCUCAUGCUCUGCUAGUUGGGGUGGCAACAAUUCAGGUACCUGACAUGAAUCUCACUCAAUCUCAAGAUGCUUCGGGGAGUUGAACCAGGGAGAACGUUGAAAUGGGAGAAAAGUGAAGAUUUUUAACAAACAAUCAAGAAUAUUGAAGAGUUUGCUGCCGACAAAGAACUGGGUUUGUGUUCUUUAUUGGCCAAUAUUCCUAAUUUUUUCAAGCUUUAUAGGUGGGCAUUCAAUAUCUCUACAUAUCUGAACUACAACUAAUCGAAUUCAAAAAAAAUUAGCAUAAUUUUUAAGUAAUAUAAAUUAUCACUCUCCAGUCAAGUUUAGUUGAGUAGUGGAGUUAGAUUCCUUUCUUCUUAUCUUUCCCAUGGAUUUGAAUUGUAUUCUUUGUCUUAUUAGGAAAUUAGGAUAGUUCCUCUUCUUUUUAGUUAGUGGCGGCAAGGAGUGCCCACCACCUACUCGACAUUUUCCCUCACUGAAUUUACUACACCUCUUUAUAUUUAAUCAACAUAUCAAUAUCAUUUUAUUUAUAAUAAAAAAUUCAAGAUAUCACUAUCUUGUGGCACUG